GGGUUGUGAGGUUAAGCGACUAAGCGUACACGGUGGAUGCCCUGGCAGUCAGAGGCGAUGAAGGGCGUGCUAAUCUGCGAUAAGCGCCGGUAAGGUGAUAUGAACCGUUAUAACCGGCGAUACCCGAAUGGGGAAACCCAGUGUGACUCGUCACACUAUCAUUAACUGAAUCCAUAGGUUAAUGAGGCGAACCGGGGGAACUGAAACAUCUAAGUACCCCGAGGAAAAGAAAUCAACCGAGAUUCCCCCAGUAGCGGCGAGCGAACGGGGAGGAGCCCAGAGCCUGAAUCAGCAUGUGUGUUAGUGGAAGCGUCUGGAAAGACGCGCGAUACAGGGUGACAGCCCCGUACACAAAAGCGCAUGUGUUGUGAGCUCGAUGAGUAGGGCGGGACACGUGGUAUCCUGUCUGAAUAUGGGGGGACCAUCCUCCAAGGCUAAAUACUCCUGACUGACCGAUAGUGAACCAGUACCGUGAGGGAAAGGCGAAAAGAACCCCGGCGAGGGGAGUGAAAAAGAACCUGAAACCGUGUACGUACAAGCAGUGGGAGCACAGGUUUACCUGUGUGACUGCGUACCUUUUGUAUAAUGGGUCAGCGACUUAUAUUCUGUAGCAAGGUUAACCGAAUAGGGGAGCCGGAGGGAAACCGAGUCUUAAUUGGGCGUUAAGUUGCAGGGUAUAGACCCGAAACCCGGUGAUCUAGCCAUGGGCAGGUUGAAGGUUGGGUAACACUAACUGGAGGACCGAACCGACUAAUGUUGAAAAAUUAGCGGAUGACCUGUGGCUGGGGGUGAAAGGCCAAUCAAACCGGGAGAUAGCUGGUUCUCCCCGAAAGCUAUUUAGGUAGCGCCUCGUGAACUCAUCUCCGGGGGUAGAGCACUGUUUCGGCUAGGGGGCCAUCCCGGCUUACCAACCCGAUGCAAACUGCGAAUACCGGAGAAUGUUAUCACGGGAGACACACGGCGGGUGCUAACGUCCGUCGUGAAGAGGGAAACAACCCAGACCGCCAGCUAAGGUCCCAAAGUCAUGGUUAAGUGGGAAACGAUGUGGGAAGGCCCAGACAGCCAGGAUGUUGGCUUAGAAGCAGCCAUCAUUUAAAGAAAGCGUAAUAGCUCACUGGUCGAGUCGGCCUGCGCGGAAGAUGUAACGGGGCUAAACCAUGCACCGAAGCUGCGGCAGCGACACUCAGGUGUUGUUGGGUAGGGGAGCGUUCUGUAAGCCUGUGAAGGUGUGUCGUGAGGCAUGCUGGAGGUAUCAGAAGUGCGAAUGCUGACAUAAGUAACGAUAAAGCGGGUGAAA
rnacentral:rRNA from 1 species